AAAAUGAGAGCUUCGGCAGGAUUUUUAUUUAUCUUAGUGGCGGACGGGUGAGUAACGUGUGGGCAACCUGCCCUAUACUGGGGAAUAAUCACUGGAAACGGUGACUAAUACCGCAUGUCAUUACGGAAGGGCAUCCUUCUGUAAGAAAAGGAGUAAUUCGGUAUAGGAUGGGCCCGCAUCUGAUUAGCUAGUUGGUGAGAUAACAGCCCACCAAGGCGACGAUCAGUAGCCGACCCGAGAGGGUGAUCGGCCACAUUGGGACUGAGACACGGCCCAAACUCCUACGGGAGGCAGCAGUGGGGAAUAUUGCACAAUGGGGGAGACCCUGAUGCAGCACCGCCGCGUGAAGGAAGAAGGUUUUCGGAUCGUAAACUUCUAUCAACAGGGACGAAGAAAGUGACGGUACCUGAAUAAGAAGCCCCGGCUAACUACGUGCCAGCAGCCGCGGUAAUACGUAGGGGGCAAGCGUUAUCCGGAAUUACUGGGUGUAAAGGGAGCGUAGGCGGCACGCCAAGCCAGAUGUGAAAGCCCGAGGCUUAACCUCGCGGAUUGCAUUUGGAACUGGCGAGCUAGAGUACAGGAGAGGAAAGCGGAAUUCCUAGUGUAGCGGUGAAAUGCGUAGAUAUUAGGAAGAACACCAGUGGCGAAGGCGGCUUUCUGGACUGAAACUGACGCUGAGGCUCGAAAGCGUGGGGAGCAAACAGGAUUAGAUACCCUGGUAGUCCACGCCGUANACGAUGAGUGCUAGGUGUCGGGGAGGAAUCCNCGGUGCC
rnacentral:rRNA from 1 species